rnacentral:lncRNA from 12 species
UCCAGCCAGUUGUCACUGCAUUCUACACACACUGGGAGCUACUUGUGUGAAAGGAAGUUCAAAGGGAAAGCUCCCCUUCCUUUGUGGAGCCUAACUGGAGACUGUUCUCCCACCUGAUCCAGGAGCCUAGAGGAAGAAGAAGGCAGCAACAGGUGUGAGGAGGGGCAGUCUCAUACUCAGAGGCCUCUGCUCUCUAACACAUUGAUGUUUCUGCAGCUGCAGUCUCUGGAUUCCUGCGUAUCUUGUCCUCAGUCUCCCCCUGUCCCUGUAGCCUCCUAGACCCAGCCAGGCCCUGCAGCCUCCAGGUGGCUUCCCAGCAACUCUGCACACAUGAGCUCAUCCAUCUCCAUCACCCUACGAGUGAGUUGCAGGCAGGUGAGAGAACAAGAUUACAGAAGAACAGGCUCAGCUCCCCACUAACAGGGAGCUCGCUCACGGUGAGAAUGCAGCCAAUUAUUCCUCCUGUUCUGGGGAGUAAUCAUUAAUGCCACAGGAAACUCUAAACAGCGAUUAAAUCAUUAUUGGGGAAGGCGCAGCAAGCCUGUGCCACCAUUAAGUGUCCCUGGUACCGUUGGUCUGGGGAAGACUUACCUGGAAGGGGGGGAAGACAGGGAGAGAUAGACAUUUUUCUCACCCCUGCAGCCAAACUGGCAGGGGCCAGCCCCAAAACCUUUGUCCUCACUCUGAGCUGCACACCUAGCUACUGGCCCCAAACAUCUUCUGACCCCCAGUGAUGGAGGCUCUCUUCCAAUAGGCUGAUGAAUCUGUUAAUUUAUGGACAUAUAUUUAUUGAGCACCUACUAUGUGCCAGGCAGUAUUCCAAGGCCUGGGGAGAUAUUGGUAAACAAGACAGUUGAGGCCCCUGUCCUCAUGGAGCUCACAGUCUAGUGAGGAAGGCACACAAUCAAAAAGUGAAUAAGUUACUAAGAACAUAAUCACAAGUUGUGGCAAGUGCUGAGGAGCAAAUAAACAGGAUGGUAGGCGUUUGAGUGGAGUGUCU